rnacentral:rRNA from 1 species
AAGACGGGGGGUGCUAGCGUUGCUCGGAAUCACUGGGCGUAAAGGGCGCGCAGGCGGCCGCGUGCGUCGGGCGUGAAAUCCCGGGGCUCAACCCCGGAACGGCGCCCGAUACGGCGUGGCUGGAGGCCGGAAGAGGAGGGCGGAAUUCCCGGUGUAGAGGUGAAAUUCGUAGAUAUCGGGAGGAACACCGGUGGCGAAGGCGGCUCUCUGGUCCGGUCCUGACGCUCAGGCGCGAAAGCGUGGGGAGCAAACAGGAUUAGAUACCCUGGUAGUCCACGCCCUAAACGAUGUGCGCUAGCCGUCGGGGGGUUUCCCCUCGGUGGCGCAGCCAACGCGUUGAGCGCACCGCCUGGGGAGUACGGCCGCAAGGCU